rnacentral:lncRNA from 1 species
CCUUCGCUGCCAAGUACUGGGCUCAUGAACAGGAGGUGAACUGUGUGGAUUGCAAAGGGGGCAUCAUAUCAUUGUGAGUGGCUCCAGGGACAGGACGGCCAAGCUCUUUUGUGACAGGGACGGCUUGUUGUGGGCACUUCUCACCCCUGAAAAUCUGGGACCUCAACAGUGGGCAGCUGAUGACACACUUGGACAGAGACUUUCCCCCAAGGG